UACAGAGACUGCAAGCGUUAUUCGGAUUCACUGGGCGUAAAGGGUGCGCAGGCGGCCGAGUGUGUGAGGCGUGAAAGCCCGGGGCUUAACCCCGGAAUUGCACCUCAAACUACACGGCUAGAGCAUUGGAGAGGGUAGCAGAAUUCAUGGUGUAGCAGUGAAAUGCGUAGAUAUCAUGAGGAAUACCAGAGGCGAAGGCGGCUACCUGGACAAUUGCUGACGCUCAGGCACGAAAGCGUGGGGAGCAGAAGGG
rnacentral:rRNA from 1 species